rnacentral:rRNA from 1 species
UACGUAGGGUGCAGGCGUUAAUCGGAAUUACUGGGCGUAAAGCGUGCGCAGGCGGUUUGCUAAGUCAGAUGUGAAAUCCCCGGGCUUAACCUGGGAACUGCGUUUGAAACUACAAGGCUAGAGUGUGGCAGAGGGGGGUGGAAUUCCACGUGUAGCAGUGAAAUGCGUAGAGAUGUGGAGGAACACCGAUGGCGAAGGCAGCCCCCUGGGUUAACACUGACGCUCAGGCACGAAAGCGUGGGGAGCAAACAGG